AUUGAACGCUGGCGGCAGGCUUAACACAUGCAAGUCGAGCGGGGUGAUGGUGCUUGCACUAUCACUUAGCGGCGGACGGGUGAGUAAUGCUUAGGAAUCUGCCUAUUAGUGGGGGACAACAUCUCGCAAGGGAUGCUAAUACCGCAUACGUCCUACGGGAGAAAGCAGGGGAUCACUUGUGACCUUGCGCUAAUAGAUGAGCCUAAGUCGGAUUAGCUAGUUGGUGGGGUAAAGGCCUACCAAGGCGACGAUCUGUAGCGGGUCUGAGAGGAUGAUCCGCCACACUGGGACUGGGACACGGCCCAGACUCCUACGGGAGGCAGCAGUGGGGAAUAUUGGACAAUGGGGGGAACCCUGAUCCAGCCAUGCCGCGUGUGGGAAGAAGGCCUUAUGGUUGUAAAGCACUUUAAGCGAGGAGGAGGCUCUUUUGGUUAAUACCCAAGAUGAGUGGACGUUACUCGCAGAAUAAGCACCGGCUAACUCUGUGCCAGCCGCCGCGGUAA
rnacentral:rRNA from 1 species